rnacentral:rRNA from 1 species
UACAGAGGGGGCAAGCGUUAUUCGGAAUUAUUGGGCGUAAAGGGCGCGUAGGCGGCUUUGCAAGUGACGGGUGAAAUCCCACGGCUUAACCGUGGAACUGCCUGUCAGACUGCAUGGCUUGAGACCAGGAGAGGUGAGUGGAAUUCCCAGUGUAGCGGUGAAAUGCGUAGAUAUCUGGAGGAACACCGGUGGCGAAGGCGGCAUCCUGGACCGACACUGACGCUGAGGAGCGAAAGCCAGGGGAGCAAACGGG